AAGUCGUAACAAGGUUUCCGUAGGUGAACCUGCGGAAGGAUCAUUACCAUAUGUAUCCAUAUAAACACCUGUGAACUUUAUUUGUAUUCCGUUCGUUGUGAAGUGGGCGUUGCAAUGUGCGUUUGUGGAGCUCUUGAGUAGUGGUAGCUUCCGUCACAUUGUACUCAUCCUUUAUUGGAUGACCUGCUUGACACGAGCGUGUAUUCCACUGCUCAUUCAUUUUUAAUUAUUAACACCUUGUACCCAUUGUGAACUGAACAUAACGCACCGCUUUUCCGCAGCCGCAGCAUAGUGUUACCGAUAGUUUGAUAGCGCACGUGACCUUUUGUUACGCCUUUCACUCUGGAAGUAACGCAGUGCCGUAGCUUGCAAACGAGCAGUGUCGUAAAUGUACGAAACGUGCGAACAACUCUUAACAACGGAUAUCUUGGUUCUC
rnacentral:misc_RNA from 1 species